UCCUGAUGUCUUCCACCGUUGAGCCACCAUCUAUCACCUGUAUCUAUUAUUCUCUGAGAGGGAUGUCCCACAGGGGGGGUCACUGUCCCACCGAGUCCACCUUCUUGGGAAGAAAAAAGAAAAAAACAUUGUGUUUAUAUUUCAUUCAAACCAACAGGGUCCCAGGUGUUUAAUACUAACAUCCAUCUUCUUUCCACUCUCCGUCUCUGUUGCGUUGUCCAUCCGCUGUCCCCCUCCACCCCUUGGAUCUGCAGCUUCUCGAGGCCGUGUGUGCGUAAAUGGUUGUACAAUAAAUUAUUUUUGUUUCCUCUUCUAAUCUGAUAGGCAUGCUGCCUAAAUCUGUCUAUCAAUUUAUUUUUUGUUUCCCCUAUGUAUAAUUUUUUAUCUUAUGAUGUAUACUACAUUUGAACUGUUAGGGUACAAUAUUUGUUGUAUCGGUACACCUAAUCCUGAGUGCAUGUUUUUAAUGUAUUUAGUUCUUAGUGUAAAACUUUGAUGUCUUAUACCAUUCCCAUUAUUCUUCUCCAUUUUAGCUCGUACUAAUAUGUCUUUUAGAUUUUUGUUCCUCCUAUAUGCAGCUACAAGUCUAAAAUUGGUCAACUCAGCCGUCGAUUCCUGGGCCUGUUGGAAGUGUACCUGUGUUGCCUCCUCCACGUCCUCGGGAAAGCUGCAGAUUCUAUGAAAACGGAUCAAUUGUGAUUUUACUAUGCCCUUGAAGGUGUGCUUGGGGUGGUAGCUGCUCUUAUGCAACAGUGCAUGUCUGUCCGUGUCCUUAAAAAACACCUUGGUAGCCAGGCCCUUUUUCCCUUCUCCUAUGGGUCUAAAAAAAAACCUGUGUGUCUAAAAACUCCGCUUUGUCCUUUUGUAUGAUGUGUGUGGUUUUUAUUGCCUUAUGAUGAGCAUUUAAAACCUCAAUGAAUGACAAAAAUUCCUUAUCCAAGUGAGUCCAAAUGCCAAAUAUAUCAUCCAGAAAUCUAUAAUAAACCAAUGGUAACUUGGCACACUUGAGGAAGGCCGUCUCCUCCCAUGCGCUCAUAUAUAAAUUUGCAUAAGCCGGGGCAAACUUUUUCCCCAUUGCUGUACCAUGGAUCUGGAGAUAAUACUUGGCAUUGAACUCAAAGUCAUUACGUGUUAGGCCUAGCUCUAAGAGUUGUAAAACCUCCUCAUCUGGUCUAUUUCUAUCUGGAUAUUCCUUAAAGGCCUUUCUGACUGCCUGCAGACCCAGUUCCGUGUCAAUGUUGGUAUAAAGGGAAACUAUGUCGAUGGUAAACAAAAAGGCAUUGUCCGGUACAAUCAGUUUAUUUAUUUUAUUCACAAAGUCAUAUGUAUCCCGAAUAUAACUGUUAUGUUUCUGGAAAAUUGGAUUAAUAAAAUAAUCGAUGAACUCUGCUACUCGACACGACUCAGAACGCAAUCACUGAUAAUUGGGCGACCACAUGGAACUGUAAAGGGAACGGACCACUUCUCCGGUGGCUUAUGAAUCUUCGGGAGCAGAUAAAAUUGUCUCAUUCGAGGAGCAUCCGAACCACUAAGAUAAUACCCGGGUGUCCUUCCUAAUAAGUGUUCGGAUGCUCUCCGAAACGGACUCCUCCAUCGGCUCCCACCUGGAAUUAUUUGUAAACGUUCCAUACGGUCAAAACAGUGUGGUGUGGGGAUGAAGGAAAGUCCCUUUUCCAGGAUCUCCCUCUCCCCCUGACUCAGACUAAAAGCCGACAAAUUUGUGAUGAAUAUGAUUACAGAAUAAAACAGAAAUGUCGACCUACCUUUGUCUGUCGUAGUAGCUUCGCUAACUGCUGACUGAUCCGACCUGUCUUACUCUUGAAGAUUUUCAUCAAGUUUGGACACGACCCAUCAACCACACCAAAGAAUUAUUCUUCUUGAUUUCUUCCA